GGGAUCUGUGCAUCACAACUGCUCUUCAUCAAUCCAGAUGGUUUUCUGUUGCUCUUCCCAGACUUUAUCCUUGAUGAUCCGAAGAAGAUCUUCGAUGCUGCUCCACGAAUCCGUCUCCAAAGAGGCGUAAAGGCAGGUUGGCCCAGGAUAUUUACCUUGAGUGAGGGACAUCUUUGUUCCUUCGGAGAAUGGAAUCAUUUCCUGGAGGCUCCGGAGUGGUGGACAUAAUGCUGGCGCAGCGAUAUCUCAGGGUUUGCUGGGUUUCAGAAGGAAAGGCCAAGAAAAGAAACAAAGACAAGCCAUCAGUGGUGCAAUCCUGCCCAUCUUGGAUUGCCAGGCUCCGCCGUCUACAAGAGAGGCAGCUUAAGACAGCUUACAGCAGCACCGAGCAAGGAAAACAAACAGACAAGGCUGUCAAACAUUACAAACAGAUGAAGAAAUGGAACAAGUCUAUCAAAACAAUUUGAGCAAUCGCAACACACACCAAGAAAGGCUCCCUGGGAAAAAAAAUCAAUUGGAAAAUACAAAAAGCAAAUGUGGGGCAUGUAUAAUUAAAAGCGUUGUGGAAAGAAAUAUAUGAAAGUAACUGCGAUAUUUGUGGAGGCCUCAGUUGUCAUCCUAUCUGCAGGCAAUCUGAGUGGAGCUGAUUCAUAGAAAUAGAUUUUUCUGGACCGAGACUUUGGGGAGUGAUUUUAAGUGUCCCUCCUGCUGUUGACACUAAUCUUUCGGUCUGCAAACAUGUGUGAGCUCUUGCAGAAAGACCGAGCUAGUUGUCCCCAUGAGUGUAGACAAAUAUGUCUUUUGUACAACAGUAAUAGAUUCUCCAAAAGCUUUUGUUGGUGGUGCUUACAAGAAGAAUUCACAAGAUCUUUCCUCCAUCUAGAAAGUUGAUAUAAAGCAGGCUCACCUUGGCAGCUAUGUCCAAAAUUGAGAAAGCUGACUUAAAAAUCAUGGAUGUUAGGGAUCACUAGAAAGGGAGUGGACAGAAUCAUUGGAGAAAGAAAGCAUAUUAGGAAGCCGGUCAUUGUGAAGGAUUUUUUUGUCUAGAUUCCUGGGAGAGAGGGAGUGAAUGCUAGAGGAGGAAGAGACAACACAGAUUAGACACUUUGUGUGGGAGAAAGAGGAUGAAGUCAGCUCCUCCUCAAUGUUCCCAGAAUAGGUUUUUAUGGUCCGAGUUUGCUUUAGUUUGGCAAGAGUUCUGUCUACAGGCGAGAAACAAUAAAGAAAUCUGCUUAGAAGGACCUCAGUGUGUCUUUCUUGUUUUUUGGAACCUGACAUCAAUCUUGCCAAACUAAAGCAGACGACAUGCACCAUAAAACAUAUACUCUGGGAACUAUUAGGGAGGAGCCAUCUUCGCCCUCUUUCUUUCACACAAACUAUCUAGGCUGUGUUGUCUCUUGCUCCUCUGGAAUGCUCCUCCAUCCUCUUGGGAAUCCGGAAAACAUUCCAUCAGAGGCACUCAGCAUGCUAUCUGGGGAAUUCUGGGAGUUGAAGUCCACUCAUCUUAAAAUUGCCAAUGUUAAGAAACAUUGGUCUGGACUGGAUGCCCCUAAGUCUUGCCCAGCCUUGGGCGGGGCUUUGAUUUGGAGUCAAACCUGCCAUCUUGAGGUUUUUGACCCAGCUCCCUGCAGAUACCCGAAUUCAGAGCACCCAUUCAGAGCAGAAAUCCAGAAAGCUUCAGGUCGUCACACAACCAAGUGAGCAAUAGUUCAUUUCACUGCUAGAAGCCCCUGCUUAGAAAGUGUCUUUUAUUCUUCACCUAGCCCCCUUUUUUUAUCAACACCUUUUUUCUCUACUUCAUUGCUCCUACUAAGCUCAUAAUCACAUCCAAUGGAACCUCACAGACAGCUGUCAAAAGUCUAAAAUGUGUUUCUUUCUUUCCUUCUUCCUUUUAAAUAAAAAUGUCCAACCUUUGCAGUUUCAACCAGCUAACAAAAACUUUGCUGUUUUUUUCCCCUCGUGAACCUGUUUCCACAGGGAAACAAAACUGGGAAAGAUUGCUGGGAAUAUCUUCAGGGAAGUACAAAUUAGCAUUUGGAAAGGUGAUAGCAGUUGUGUGUGUGUGUGUGUGUGUGUGUGUGUUAAAAAGAGCAAA